ACGGACACGAAAUCUAGAGGAUGGCCGGUAUAACGAUAUACUAUACUGUGUAUAGUUUGAUAAAGCAGAGAGGAGCUUAUUGACAGUGUUAUUAACCGAACCCUUUUGGAACCGAAGAUCAGCUAUCCGAACCACUGUGGGACGCAACACCAGAGGAAGUUCGAACAUUGGUUAAAGAAGCAGCCUG